CGAUAAUCUUUUCCAGAACAACAAAAUUUUCUGAUACACAAAAGCAAGCUAAAACACACUAAAGUACUGGUGACUAAACCUGUCGCUGGAAGCGACCGGAACCUGGGACUAGCUCGGGCCACAUACUGCUAAUUAAGGCGCCAUUUUUGUAACUAUGCAAUGUUCAUUUCCACAAGAUGCAGAAGCGCACAAGUAUGGUUCAUCUCCGGCGAACCAAAGGAUUGAAGGCCAGAGGGCAUUUUACAGAAGAAAAAGGUCUGUGUGGUGGAUUUACUUCUUUAAAAGUCUCAUGGAACAGGAAAUCUUUAACCCAGGAGAUGAGAUUCAAAUGGCAUGCCUUUGGUUCUGUUUCGCUCAGUUACUACAAGACGACCUGGAUAAAAUUAAACUACACUGGUACACACAUUUAAUAAGGGGCUCUAGCCAUGACAUUAUCAGUGGGAGACCGAAUGAACUGUUCUUUCUCCCAGAGCUGUAUGGAGGAGUAGAUGGUCUACUUCACCCAAUCUUGGAUGAUGAGUUCUAAUCCUUGAGGGAGAACCUGACUUAUGGAGAGGAGAAAAGUAUCUACCAAGAGUACUUUGAAUAUGUUAUUGAAAACACUGAGUUGCAGCUGCCCCACAAUUGAAGAGGGACUCUUUCUGUAUAAAAGAACUCCUUGAAAUUGCUAACGCAUGAUGUUUGACGAACACGGACGAGCUGUGCGAUAUCGGUGGAGGACACCUUCAGUAAGGAUUCAAACAUGUGGUCCUACAGGUCUUCAGUCUCUCCCAAAAAUGGAGUCACAGGAUUGGAUCACUUGGAGACCGUGUUACCAACCUACUGGAGCAAGUCCUUUGCAGUUUCCCUUAUUCCAGAAUCGAAUUUGGUGGAGGAGGAUCAGGACAUGAAAAUGCAUGAGGAAAAAGAGCUCUGGGGAAACCUUCAGUUACCUUCAGGUCUCCAGUCUCUCAAAAAUGGAGUCACCAGAUUGGAUCAGUUGGAGACCCUGUUUCCAACCUACUGAAGCACUUCCUUCACCAAGAUAUGCCAUGGCAUGAAGGUUGAUGGGGUAACCAGGUUCUUGCAAUGGGUGUCAAUGGCAAUGAACAAGAUGAUUGCAGUUCCCAUGAUUCCAGAAUCAGAUCUGGUGAAGGAGGAUCAAGAUAUGAAAACAUGUGUGGAAUUACAGAGCUUUGUGGAGUGCAGACAACAGAGACAAAAAUAUCAAGGAAUUUGGAUACAUCUUCAUUCAAUAAAGACACUGAACCACUCUACUCAAGGAAAACACUGCAUGCGACAUAAAGCAAUGAUUAUGCUUUAAUUUCAGUAUUGGGGAUUUUAAAAUGUGAGUUUUUGCUUUAGCUAUUAAAUGAAAGGAAAAUAA